ACGGGGCUAAACCAUGCACCGAAGCUGCGGCAGCGACGUUUAUGCGUUGUUGGGUAGGGGAGCGUUCUGUAAGCCUGCGAAGGUGGCCUGUGAGGGUUGCUGGAGGUAUCAGAAGUGCGAAUGCUGACAUAAGUAACGAUAAAGCGGGUGAAAAGCCCGCUCGCCGGAAGACCAAGGGUUCCUGUCCAACGUUAAUCGGGGCAGGGUGAGUCGACCCCUAAGGCGAGGCCGAAAGGCGUAGUCGAUGGGAAACGGGUUAAUAUUCCCGUACUUGGUGUUACUGCGAAGGGGGGACGGAGAAGGCUAUGUUGGCCGGGCGACGGUUGUCCCGGUUUAAGCGUGUAGGCUGGUUUUCCAGGCAAAUCCGGAAAAUCAAGGCUGAGGCGUGACGACGAGGCACUACGGUGCUGAAGCAACAAAUGCCCUGCUUCCAGGAAAAGCCUCUAAGCAUCAGGUAACAU
rnacentral:rRNA from 1 species